UCCGCAAUGGGCGAAAGCCUGACGGAGCGACGCCGCGUGCGGGAUGAAGGCCUUCGGGUUGUAAACCGCUGUCAGUUGGGAGGAAAUCUAUGGGGGUUCUCCCCCAUAGUUGACCUAUCUUCAGAGGAAGGACGGGCUAAGUUCGUGCCGGCAGCCGCGGUAAGACGAACCGUCCAAACGUUAUUCGGAAUCACUGGGCUUAAAGGGUGCGUAGGCGGCUUGGCAAGUUGGGUGUGAAAUCCCUCGGCUCAACCGAGGAACUGCGCUCAAAACUGCCAAGCUAGAGGAAGAUAGAGGUGAGCGGAACUAAUGGUGGAGCGGUGAAAUGCGUUGAUAUCAUUAGGAACACCUGUGGCGAAAGCGGCUCACUGGGUCUUUUCUGACGCUGAGGCACGAAAGCUAGGGUAGCGAACGGGAUUAGAUACCCCGGUAGUCCUAGCUGUAAACGAUGAGCACUAGGUUGGAGGCUCCUCCAUAGGUUUCCGACGAAGCGAAAGUUUAAGUGCUCCCCUGGGGA
rnacentral:rRNA from 1 species